rnacentral:rRNA from 1 species
GAGUUUGAUUCUGGCUCAGAUUGAACGCUGGCGGAUGCUUUAGCUAGCUGCAAGUCGAACGGCAGCACGGACUUCGGUCUGGUGGCGAGUGGCGAACGGGUGAGUAAUGUAUCGGAACGUGCCUAGUAGGGGGAUAACUACGCGAAAGCGUAGCUACUGCAUACCGCCCUUCGGGGAAAGCGGGACCUUCGGGCCCUCGCAAUUAGAGCGGCCGAUAUCGGAUUAAAUGGGUUGGUGGGGUAACGGCUCACCAAGGCGACGAUCCGUAGCUGGUUUGAGGACGGCUGGCUACGACUGGGACCAGACACGGUCCGUAUUCGGGCUGGAGGCAGCAGGGGAAUUUGACAGCCCGGGGAAACUCCUGAUCCAGCCAUCCCGCGUGUGCGAUGAAGGCCUUCGGUUGUUAAUCUUUGGCAGGAAAGAAACGGCACGGGAUACUACCCGUGCAACUGACGGCACCUACAAGAAUAAGCACCGGCUAACUGGCGCCAGCAGCCGCGGCCACGGGGGUGCAAGGCGUUAAUCGGAAUUACUGGGGCGUAAAAGCGUGCGCAGGCGGUUCGGAAAGAAAGAUGGAACCCAGAGCUUAACUUUGGAAAUCGCAUUUUUAAUCACCGAGCGAGGAAGUCAGAGGGAGGUGGAAUUCCGCGUGUAGCAGUGAAAUGCGUAGAUAUGGUGGAGGAACACCGACACAGAAGGCAGCCUCCUGGGAUAACACUGACGCUCAUGUAAUGGAAAGCGUGGGGAGCAAACAGGAUUAGAUACCCUGGUAGUCCACGCCCUAAACGAUGUCAACUACGUUGGGGCCUUCGGGCCUUGCAAAAAGUAGCUAAUGGCGUGAAGUUGACCGCCUGGGGAGUACGGUCGAUUAAAACUCAAAGGAAUUGACGGGGACCUGCAACAAGCGGUGGAUGAUGUGGAUUAACUGAUGCAACGCGAAAAACCUUACCUACCCUUGACAUGUCUGAAUCCCGAAGAGAUUUGGGAGUGUCGCCAAGAGAACCGGGAAUACAGGUGCUGUAUGGCUGUCGUCACCGUGUCGAGAUGUUGGGUUAAGUCCCGCAACGAGCGCAACCCUUGGCUGCUGCUACGAAAGGGCAAUUUAAUGAGACUGCCGGUGACAAACUGGAGGAAGUGGGGAUGACGUCAAGUCCUCAUGGCCCUUAUGGGUAGGGCUUCAAGCACGUCAUACGGGAAAUGGUCGGGACAGGUCGCCAACCCGCGAGGAGCUAAUCCCAGAAACCCGAUCAGUCCGAUCGCAGUCUGCAACCUCGACCAGGAAGUCGGAAUCGCUGUAAUCGCGGAUCAGCAUGUCGCGGUGAAUACGUUCCCCGGGUCUUGUACACACUGCCCGUCACACCAUGGAGUGGGUUUUACCUGUGAAGAGUUAGCCCAACUGCAAGGAGGGCGAUUACCGACGUAGUAGGAUUCAUGACUGGGGUGAAGUCGUACGU